CCACCGCGACCGUUGCCUAGCGACCAUGUCGGGGCGGCGGGCUCGGGGCCCGCUGCAGCGGGUGCAACGGCGGAGCCGGGAGCUGCAGGCGCAGGUGGAAGCGCUGCGGGCGGAGAGCGCGGCCCCGGCCCCCGGGCAGCGGAAGGCCCUUUCGCAGAGAUGUUUGCAGCUGAAGAAAUUGGUGGACGAGAAUACAAAUGCUCUUCGUGAUUUGAAAAAAGCUGAUGAGCCUGCGCCUGUGGGGAAUUACAAUCAGAGGAAAGAAGAAGAAGAAAAGCUGUUGCUAAAACUCUCUCAGCAGCUGCAGAAUCUUGUUCCUGUCUUGCAUCAGGAUAACGUGACUACGAAUUAUGCAGCGGAUGAGGAACAUCAGAAGGAUCCUCAAACAGAAGAUGAAAAUGGAGAAGAGGAUGAGAGUGAAGAUGAAGAAAGUAGUGAGGAGGAAGACAGCGAAGAAGCAGAUGACAAUGAUGAUGAUGAGGAUAAAUUGUUGGAUGAUCCAAAUGUUAAAGAAUGUAUUGCAGUUGGAAACUUUCAUGCACAGCAGGAAGGGGAUCUCACAUUUACGAAAGGUGAAAUCCUACUCAUACAUGACAAGAAGGCGGAUGGCUGGUGGGUAGCCGAAAACUCGAAAGGGGAGAGAGGCCUCGUUCCUAGAACCUAUCUUGCGGUCCAUAAUGAGGAUGGUGAAAGCCAAGAGCAAAGUGAAGAACACAUAGAAGUGGUGGAUGAAACAGCAGAUGGAACUGAAAUUAAAAAAAGAACAGAUUCUCACUGGAGUGCUGUAAGAAGAGCUAUCACAGAGAAUGACACAGUCGAGGUACUGGCAACCAUAGGAGCAGUUCCUGCAGGAUUCCGCCCAUCCACACUUUUCCAGCUCUUAGAAGAAGGCAAUCAGUUUCGAGCAAGUUACUUUUUGCAGCCUGAACUUACGCCAUCACAGCUGGCUUUCAAAGACUUGGUGUGGAACUCUGAAAAAAAUACUAUCUACCCUAGACCAACUCGAGUAUCCCUGAUUGUAACUUUAUGUAGCUGUAAAAUGAUUCCCCUCCCAGGAGUCAGCAUACAGGUUCUCAGUAGACACGUCCGACUCUGUCUGUUCGACGGCAAUCGGGUGCUGAGUAACAUUCACACAGUGAGAGCUACGUGGCAACCUAAAAAUCCUCAAACGUGGACCUUUUCUCCAAGGGUAACAGGCAUUUUACCCAGCUUGCUCGAUGGUGACUGUUUUGUCAGGUCCAACUCUCUGUCUUCAGACAUUGGUAUAUUAUUUGAACUUGGCAUCACUUACAUUCGCAAUUCAACAGGUGAAAGAGGAGAGCUAAGCUGUGGCUGGGCAUUUCUGAAGCUUUUUACGUCUAACGGAAUGCCUGUUCCUUCCAAGAUGUACGAGCUGCUGUUAAAUGGUGGUACUCCCUAUGAGAGAGGCGUUGAGGUUGACCCAUCAAUAUCAAGAAGAGCAGGGAGUGGUGUUUUUCAUCAGUUUAUAACACUCAAGAAACAGCCUGUGCUUCUAGUGAAACUGAGGUCAUUAAGUGUGCAGUCGAAAGACAUCCUGAAUUUGCUACCAGAAACGUUAAUUGGCAGUAUGUGCUACAUCCAUCUCUUGAUAUUCUAUCGACAAAUACUUGGUGAUGCACUCCUGAAAGAGAGAGUAAGCAUGCAAAGCACAGAUUUAAUCUGCAAUCCCAUUUUAGCAACUUUCCCUGAACUCAUGGAUCAACCAGACCUGAUGGACGCACUUCGGAGCGCUUGGGCAGAUAGAGAAAGAACGCUGAAGAGGCUCGAGAAGAGAGAUCGAGAAUUUCUAAAGUCUCUGUUUGUCCUGGUGUACCACGACUCUGUCUUUCCUCUCCUCCAGUCCACUCUCCUCCCCGACUACAAGUGGGCUGAGGAAGAGUCAGAAGCAUCUCGCUGGAAGGUGAUUGCUGACUUUUUGAAAAAGAGCCAAGAGAACGAUGGUGCACUUCAGUAUCUGCUCUCAUCAGAAAACACUCACAAAGCCUUUGAUAUCUCUGAGCUGGCUUACGAUUUCUUAGGAGAAGUAAGGAAAAAUGAUGCUGGAGUAUGAAUGGAUUACAGAAGAACAAUACAAGCUACCUAAGAAUGGGGCUGAACAAAAGACUCUUUGUCACAGUACCCCAGCAGACUGGUAAGAGGCAAGGAAAAAGCGAUGAUCUUGAAGAAUGCUGCUGAGCAAGGUCAGCCAGACCUUGAAUUGAUUGUAUGCUGGUGGCGGGGCUGGGGUCC